rnacentral:lncRNA from 1 species
UAAAACGUUUAACUCGUUAUAGCUAGUUUUCAAUGUUUUGUGUUUGUUUUUCGUGAAUGUGGAUCCACGUUACAAACUUGGCCAUGGAGCAAUCUCUGUCUUGUUUGAUUUUCAUACGAUCACGUUGUUUUUGUUAAUUUGAAGAUUUGAACGGUUUAUUGGAAAAUUAGUUGAAAAAUUAUAGCUAGUAAGCUUUUGUUAGAACUAUUGUUUAGAACUAUAUAGAAGAUACAGAGAUUACUUCGAUGGUUCUGAGCACACAUGGAACUGAGCUUCGCCUGUGAACUCUCUCUAUAAUUUUAAUUGGAAUUUGAUUAAUUUAUUUAACGAUAUAAUUUUGGUAAGAUGAAUGUAAUGAAUAAAGAUAUGAGAGAUUUCAUAGGAAUGCUUAAUAGGAUCCAAGCGCACCACGAUGCAUAUUAUAUCGAAGAAAAGAACAUCAAUGUAUAACUUUGAAACGAAAGUUAAAGAAAGCAGCAGUGUUUGGUGCAAAAUAUCAUACGUUCGGACAACCAAAAAAGAACGAUCAGUAAUGCAACAGGAUAAAAGGGCACUUUUCAUCAAAGAAGCCAGGCGUCUGCUUCUGCGAUUGGCCACAGUCAACUUUGUGUGUGUAUAAAUGAGUGUAGUGGUUUCGAAAGAAACAUUCAGAAUAAUAUUGUUAAAAAUAAUUAAAAAAAAAAAAAAAAAAAGAAAAUUCUCAUCGAAUAUAAAAGUCGAUUAAUCUGUACGAUUAGAAGUUUUGAUAAAUUUUCUAUCGAAUAGAACACGAUUCAAAAUUAUUUUGAACAUUUCUCACGCACGUUGCAACACACUACCGCAGAGACACACAAAAAUCGUUCGGGUUGCAUUUAGUGAACCGUGCACACGUGAAACAAAACGAACGCGUGAAUCGAAGGCGUGUAUGAAGACUGUCGGUGUUCGAUAUAUCGAGAAACUUGGUGAAGUAUCGAUAUGUGGUUGAUUGAAAUAAUGUUAUUGGACGGUGAUGUAAGUAUAAAACACGCAGGGUGAGAAGAAUGCUGGUUCAUCGAACAGUGAUUCAGAGAUCAUCUCUGAAGAAUUUCUGCCAUCGCAAAAAAGAUCAACGAAGCUAUUUCGCAAAGAGGCCAUUGAAAGUGAUCGAUGACCCCUCCGUCACGGACCUCGUCUUUCCUUUUGUCUUCCUAAGGAAGACUUCGAAUGGAAAAAAAAAAAAAAUCGCGGAUGAAGAAGUGGAGGAGAGGAUGGACGAAGAGAGAAGAAAGAGAACCGGCGUGAUUUGAUCAUGAGACAAGAGGGAAAGAGGAGUCGAGAGUGAAACGAGAAAGAGAAAGAGUGGUUAGUCGCCACGGUGAGAUGGGGUGAAGUCACACAGUCAGGCAAAAAGAAUCAAUCGGUGGGUGUUAACGAGGCCGCGUUAAUGAGGAUCAAGUACCUGGAAAUGAUGCUCUUCAUCUUGGUAUCCGGUGCAACGCCAUCUAUAUCGGUAUCCUCGGUUGCGCCUAACCGGGCCCUCAGUCGAUCUACGCUACUCUGCAACCUCUCGAUUUCCACUUCGUACUGGAAACGAAGAGACGUGGCGUUGUUAGUUACAAGACACACACUUGGCAGGCAGUUCCGUUAGGCGACAGGUCAGAGAAACAGAGAGAUAGUAGAGAGACAAAAAGAGGAUGACGAUGAUGACGACGACGACGACGACAGUGGCGACAGCGGCGGUAGCGGCAACAACAACGGCAGCAGCAGCUUCUCGCGCGAUAAAAUAGGAGUUUUUGUAAAAAGAGGAACUUGUUAUUCACACAACGGUCACGUAUAUAUAUGUACAUAUGUUUGUUACAACGAAAUCAAAAGAGAAUUAUAAGUUCCUCUUUGAUCUGCUAAGACAAUUUUAAUUAUGUUUCUUAUGUCCUCUGCUUCGUUGCUGGAAACUCGAAGAGAUUUAUUUUUUUUUCCCCCCCUCGUGGUUUCGUGGAUGACAGAGAUAAGUUGAAUUGAAUUGGCAAAUUUAUAUCAAUGCUCGUUGCUAUUGUUAUAAUAUAAAUAUAACGUAUGUUAUAUGAUA